UACGUAGGGGGCAAGCGUUGUCCGGAUUUAUUGGGCGUAAAGAGCGUGUAGGCGGCCAGACAGGUCAGCUGUGAAAACUCGAGGCUCAACCUCGAGACGUCGGUUGAAACCGCCUGGCUAGAGUCCGGAAGAGGAGAGUGGAAUUCCCGGUGUAGCGGUGAAAUGCGCAGAUAUCGGGAAGAACACCCGUGGCGAAGGCGGCUCUCUGGGACGGUACUGACGCUGAGACGCGAAAGCGUGGGGAGCGAACAGG
rnacentral:rRNA from 1 species